AUGGCUGGAAUGUUUAUUCAUUAUCUUCCAGUAAUAUACCUGCUUUUCCUGCAAGCUCAUUAUUUACUCAUAUAUAUUUUGUGUGACAAGAAAGCUUUUUAUUUGUGUCAGUCAAGGAUGGAGUUUAAGCACACGAAAAAGACAAGCUUUUUGGUCAGGAGGAAAACAAAAAAUGGGAAUGAAAAGAAACUUUCAAUGAAAAAAAUAGAGCAGACAGAUGUGAACCUUCCACCAGAGGAACAGGCAUCUGGAAUUCUUGAUCUCAUUGCUCUAGAUGCUGAAGCACUUAACAAGAGAGUGCUUCAUGCUCUCAGAAAGAUUCUGAGUGACCAAUCAACCUCUGAGGACUUUGAUGCUGCAGCUGAGGUGCUGAAAACAUUGAGCAAACUGAAUAACAACUAUUCUCAAGACUGGCUUUGUGAGUACCUUCAAGAAAUUAAUCAGUUUGUGGAGAACCACUUUCCCACGCUGCCAGCAGAGGGACCACAAGGAUCUCAGUUGGAGCAGAUACAGGACUUUCAGAGAACACAGAGCAUGAUAAAUGAUAAGGUGCUUCGAUUAACACCUGCACUGAAAGAUGCUGGGCUGCUAGAUCAUCUGAUGGACAGUUACAGCCGUCACCUCUUUACCAACCUGGACCUGCUGCUAAACAGAGAUCUGUCUGUGAAAGAGAUCUUCUGCCUUCUGCUGUGGGGAAAAGAUGUUUUCUUCAGUUCAGACUCACAGCAUUUCUUCAGAGUGCACGACCCUCUGCUGUUGACAAAUUGGUUUGAGAGAGCAACGAAGAAACUGCUGCCAAAACUAAAGAAUGACAUCUCCACGACUCUACAGAACAUCCUGGACUAUGAUGCGCAAAAUAGACCUAAUGGAGACUCAAUGGAUGAAGAAACGUUCAUCAGAGUUCACUUAGAUGUCACUAAAUGUCUGAAUGCUGUUAUACAGAGUUCUAAGGAAUUUAGUCACACGUUGAUGUGUGCGGCACAAACACUCUGUCUUAAAGAGCUUCAUCAUUUUGUUCAGGAGUAUGUGCAUGCAGAGAAAAAAAGCCUGGAAAAACAACAACCCCUGAAGAAAAAUCCUGUGCAUCUGUUUCGGCUCAUCAGCACCUGUAGACAACUCUGAUUUUUUGCUCCUCAACUCAGCAAUCCAGAUAUAAAAAACAGUGACGACCUCUCAAAAAUGAUCUGCAUGUUAAAGAUGAUGGAGGAUCACGUUCUGUCUAUUGUACAGAAGAUGAUGAAAGACGUAGCACAGGUAACAUCAUUUCAUCAUAAACAGUUUAUGUACAGAAGGAAAGUUGAGGACUUUCCCAGAUUCCAAAAAGGGAAUGUCUCAGUCAUCAAUAGAGGUUAAUAUUCGUUAGCUUACAUACCUGCCUAUCAGGUUUUUCAACAAUGAAGUGAUAACCUUUUGUAAUGAGGUACAGUUUGUUUACUUGAAUGCAGUUAAUGCAUUAUGAACUAACAAUGAACAAUACCUAAAGCAUUGUUUUUAUGCAUUCUAGAGGGGAGGAUUUUGUGGUUGCGUUCAUUUUUUGCAGUAGACCAAAUUCAGGGAUAACAUGCAAAUAACUAUAGUUUCUUUGUAAAUGUACAUUUCUAGGCCUUUUUAAGACAUUAUUUCAAAGAAGAAGGUGAUCAAAUCCAAGCACUGACAGAGGCAAUCCAAAAGCAAUGUGCAUCUCUGCCUCAGACUGAUGUGGGAAAAGAGAAAAUUCAGGAGGUUUGUUCUGUGCUCAAAUACACAGUCUAACUCAAAAAAAAAAUAAAAAAAAUAUUUUUACACAUUCUCUGCUCCUUUCUUUCUGACAGAUCUUUGUGAAUGUAUCCUAUGACUGCGUUUCACGCGUGUAUCUGGAUUGCCUGAUGAAGAGCAAGUUCAGAAGGCUAGAGAGGAGAUGGGGAAAUGUUGAAGAAAGGAUAAGCGAGGACGUUCUCAAUUUUCACAACACAUUCGCUGAACUGGUAAGAAGAACUCUACUGUUAUUAAAUUACACUCUUAAAAAAAGGUUACAAAAGGGGAUGUUCACACCAAUGCCAUAGAAGAACCACUUUCAGUGUUUUUUUUUUUUCUAAGUGUGAAGAACUAUUAUGUAUCUCUAUUUCAGAAUGGCAGUGAUGCCCAGAGGAACCAUCUCCUUCAGAGACUCAGUGAAGUUUUGCUUCACAGUGAUGUAGAAGCACUGAAGAUUACCUGUUGUGCUUUGUUCAGAGAUUUCCCUCAGGAGAGGUAAACUUAGCCAAUAACACUUAGUUUAUACUUUGUACGCUUAAUUUCAGGUCUGGAAAUAUAUGUGUUAUUAUUUUGUUUUCAUCAGACAGUGCAGUGAAGUCUUCUUCUCAAUGUUUUGCAGUGAGCAGUAUGUACCUGGUCUGCUGCGCUGGAAGGGGGUUUUAUCAGAGCGACAGGUGAGGGAAGUGCUGGAUGUGAGCCGGGACCUCGAUCCGAAGCCUAGACACGUCACCUGUCAGCCUCUGAAGGGACUUUUUUGUUUUCUUUGAUGUGAAUAACAACAUCAGCCAGAACUGUAAAAUCUUUGUUUAAGUUUAAUUCGAUGACAUGACUGUUUUGUGUUAUUCAUUUAUGAUAUUUAUGUUAUACUGGUACAUAGAUAUUUUCAUCAGAUAUUGUAAUAUUUGCUUUUCCCUGAUGACUUUUUGAUGUUACUUGAAAAUAGGAAAUAAUUUUUAUAUCAGACCACUGGAGAAAAAUGAAUUACCCUUUACUCUUUACCCUUUUAAUCUUUUAUAUGAUAAUUUAAUUUUCACAGAGUUACUCAUUUUGACUUCUACCUUUUACAUUGUUACAAAAGAGGAUUGUAACAACAUGUCCAGCUACUGUAUGAACCUAAAUUAUUGUUAUAUUAUUUAAUAGUUCAGUCAGGACCACUCUGUUUGAUUAAGAUUACUGUAGAGGUCCUGAACAUUAUUUUUGGCGACAGGCUUUACGCUCAAGGGUUCAGAUUCUGAGCUGUCCACAAGCAAACCUCACUGAGGUGUAAACCCCGAAGCCUAAUGCAAUUACCAGAUAUAAAAUUCCAUCCAGAAGUGAUACAAGUCUGUAAAUGAGUCUGGACAAGAUUAAACAGUUAGCUGAUAGAUGAUCUCACGCGCCUGCAGGGUGAGCGACAGACCAAGGCAAGUGUGACUUUGAAAGAACUUAUAUAUAUCUUAUUUAAUUGUAGUGGGAGGAGUUGUUAAUGCUGGCUGUCACACCAUGGUCUUCUUGAACUUAUGCUUGAGCUCCAUUCGUCAGUCAGACUACAUUUAUAUUUACAUACAAUUAUAUUUUUUGUAAUUUCUUACAUUUUCAUUUGAAAAUAGGUACAGUAUCUUUUGUGUGAUGUGAUUUGUGUGAGCUCCAUUUUUGUGCACACAGAUCAUAAUCCCUUGGUGUUCUUGACCCACAUGUCUAACCCUAAUCAACGUUUAAUGUGUUGAAUAUUAUUUUGAUAUCCAGCACAAGAAAAUAAUUGACAAACAUCAUUGCCAAUGCCCUGUGCAGAUUUCAUUCCUUUGACAAUUAAAAAUGUGUUUUUUUUUUUUUUUGUGAUUCAUUAUAUUAUCUUAUAACCAGUGGGUGGCUUUGUGAAUCUUUUACCUCAUUUGUGUUGAACUUACUGAAGUAGUGUUUUUUUCCCUUUGUUUAUCUGAUUGCACUGCAUGAUUGAGGGGAAUGGGAGAAGUUUUACCUUCUGAGUCUGUUUGAUUCAGCUGUUUUUGUUGUUGUUGUUGUUGUUGUUGUUUUGCUUCACAAGUUUAAUGAUUCAAUUGUUUUUGUGGGGUUUGUAGGGAAGUGGGUGCAAUUUGUUUUGAAGUAGACCUUCCCCCUGUUAAUGUUAGUUGGGGAGUUAACUUAUUUUGCUGGAUUUUUGUUUUCUGCCUUUUUAGUUUAGUUAUAGUUGGUUCAUAAGGAGUGAGUUAUUUUUGUUGUUUUAGCAAUAUCCCAAAAUCUUUUACGAAAUAUAAAAAUUGUGAUUUGCAGUUUUGUUUCAUAAAGAAUUUCAGUAUGUACAAAAUGAUUGCAAAAGCAAAAUUCAUGUGAUCCUCACUAUGGAAAAGAAGCUCCUGCUAAACUGGAGUGAGUCCUGCUUUUCACUGAACUGAUUCUGGCUGCAAGUGAAACUCUUCAGGAUAUUUCUGUGGUCUGAUGGAAAAAGAUUUCCCUUGAGUCUCAGCCAAGCAGAAAUAUGAUGCUGACUGUAACAAGAAUACAGACAGGAGAAAAACACAGUGGACUUAUUUUUCCCCUGAAUAAUCGCACAGCAGAAACCACCAAACCUAAGAUCAGGGUAAAGCAUCAUCAGACGUGCCAGCUCUAAUUUUACACUCUCUGGAUCCUGUAGUUUCAGGAGACCCGCUAAUUUGAGAAUUUCUUUCAAACAGUCCAUAUUUGAUCCCUAUGAUAAUGAAAUUUCACUGUGUUUGAUUUAAACUUGUGUUAGUAUGGUAUAAAAAAUUUUGGGAUUGGCUUGAACCUGUGGAACUGUUGGACUAUUAAUGUCAAUGUCAAAAUUUAAAAAAAAAAAAAAAAACUACUGUAUUCUCCAACUGGCCACUGUAAUGUGUAUUAUGAAAAAAAUAAACCUCAGAGAAUUUAUGGUAACUGUGUCUUGUAAUCAGCAUCAAAUAAUUCCAGUACACACAUCUUUAUAGUUAUUUGCUGCUUUGUGUGGCUAUUAUGGGAGUACAUGUAACAGACAUCUUAAAUUACACUUCAGAAAUACCCACAUAUGACUUUUGGAUGUGUACUUGUUCCUAUUGCAAUUAAAAGCAUUUAUUAUUAACUAGUGAUCGUCUGUCCUGUUUAUUUUGAACCUUUUUGAAUUCCCUGUAUUGGAUAUGGUAUUUGGUGACUGACUCCA
rnacentral:lncRNA from 12 species